rnacentral:rRNA from 1 species
AGAGUGAACGCUGGCGGCAGGCCUAACACAUGCAAGUCGAACGGCAGCACAGAGGAGCUUGCUCCUUGGGUGGCGAGUGGCGGACGGGUGAGGAAUACAUCGGAAUCUGCCUUAUCGUGGGGGAUAACGUAGGGAAACUUACGCUAAUACCGCAUACGACCUACGGGUGAAAGCGGAGGACCUUCGGGCUUCGCGCGAUAAGAUGAGCCGAUGUCGGAUUAGCUAGUUGGUGGGUAAAGGCCCACCAAGGCUGCGAUCCGUAGCUGGUCUGAGAGGAUGAUCAGCCACACUGGAACUGAGACACGGUCCAGACUCCUACGGGAGGCAGCAGUGGGGAAUAUGGACAAUGGGCGCAAGCCUGAUCCAGCCAUGCCGCGUGUGUGAAGAAGGCCUUGGGUGUAAAGCACUUUUGUACCGGAAAGAAAGCACUGGAUUAAUACCCUGGUGUUAUGACGGUACCGGAAGAAGUAAGCACCGGCUAACUUCGUGCCAGCA